rnacentral:rRNA from 1 species
GAUGAACGCUGACAGAAUGCUUAACACAUGCAAGUCGAUGGGGAAGUGGUGCUUGCACCAUGGCAACCAUGGCGGACGGGUGAGUAACGCGUAAGGGACUUACCUGCAGGACUGGGAUAACAGGGGGAAACUCCUGACAAGACCGGAUAAUGUCAUGGAGCUGCAUGGCUUUAUGAUGAAAGGAGACGCCUGCGGAGAGCCUUGCGUCCUAUUAGCUAGUUGGUGAGGUAAUGGCUCACCAAGGCGAAGAUAGGUAGCCGGCCUGAGAGGGUGGACGGCCACAAGGGGACUGAGAUACGGCCCUUACUCCUACGGGAGGCAGCAGUGGGGAAUAUUGGACAAUGGGGGCAACCCUGAUCCAGCAAUUCUGUGUGCACGAAGAAGGUUUUCGGAUUGUAAAGUGCUUUCAGCAGGGAAGAAGUAAGUGACGGUACCUGCAGAAGAAGCGGCGGCUAAAUACGUG